UACGUAGGUGGCAAGCGUUAUCCGGAUUUACUGGGCGUAAAGCGCGUGCAGGCGGUUUCGUAAGUCGGAUGUGAAAGCUCCUGGCUUAACUGGGAGAGUGCAUUCGAUACUGCGAGGCUUGAGGUCGGGAGAGGGACGUGGAAUUCCCGGUGUAGUGGUGGAAUGCGUAGAUAUCGGGAGGAACACCAGUGGCGAAGGCGGCGUCCUGGCCCGUACCUGACGCUGAGACGCGAAAGCGUGGGUAGCGAACGGGAUUAGAUACCCCGGUAGUCCACGCUGUAAACGGUGGAUACUAGGUGUUGGUGGCUAUCGUCAUCAGUGCCGUAGCUAACGCGUUAAGUAUCCCGCCUGGGGACUACGGCCGCAAGGCUAAA
rnacentral:rRNA from 1 species